AAACCGUGAUUGGGGCAUCUUCUGGUAAGAUGUUUAAACCGCUCCCAUGUUUCGAAAAGUGCUUCGUCUGUCUCUUGCAGGAAGUUCUCUAUUUGUCUCCGGAUUUU
rnacentral:snoRNA from 1 species